UUUGGUUAAGUUAGAAAGGGCGCACGGUGGAUGCCUUGACACUAGGAGUCGAUGAAGGACGGGACUAACGCCGAUAUGCUUCGGGGAGCUGUAAGUAAGCUUUGAUCCGAAGAUUUCCGAAUGGGGAAACCCACCAUACGUAAUGGUAUGGUAUCCUUAUCUGAAUACAUAGGGUAAGGAAGACAGACCCAGGGAACUGAAACAUCUAAGUACCUGGAGGAAGAGAAAGCAAAUGCGAUUUCCUGAGUAGCGGCGAGCGAAACGGAACAUAGCCCAAACCAAGAGGCUUGCCUCUUGGGGUUGUAGGACAUUCUAUACGGAGUUACAAAGGAACGAGGUAGACGAAGCGACCUGGAAAGGUCCGUCGUAGAGGGUAACAACCCCGUAGUCGAAACUUCGUUCUCUCUUGAAUGUAUCCUGAGUACGGCGGAACACGUGAAAUUCCGUCGGAAUCUGGGAGGACCAUCUCCCAAGGCUAAAUACUCCCUAGUGAUCGAUAGUGAACCAGUACCGUGAGGGAAAGGUGAAAAGCACCCCGGAAGGGGAGUGAAAGAGAUCCUGAAACCGUGUGCCUACAAAUAGUCAGAGCCCGUUAACGGGUGAUGGCGUGCCUUUUGUAGAAUGAACCGGCGAGUUACGAUCCCGUGCGAGGUUAAGCUGAAGAGGCGGAGCCGCAGCGAAAGCGAGUCUGAAUAGGGCGUUUAGUACGUGGUCGUAGACCCGAAACCAGGUGAUCUACCCAUGUCCAGGGUGAAGUUCAGGUAACACUGAAUGGAGGCCCGAACCCACGCACGUUGAAAAGUGCGGGGAUGAGGUGUGGGUAGCGGAGAAAUUCCAAUCGAACCUGGAGAUAGCUGGUUCUCCCCGAAAUAGCUUUAGGGCUAGCCUUAAGUGUAAGAGUCUUGGAGGUAGAGCACUGAUUGGACUAGGGGUCCUCAUCGGAUUACCGAAUUCAGUCAAACUCCGAAUGCCAAUGACUUAUCCUUAGGAGUCAGACUGCGAGUGAUAAGAUCCGUAGUCAAAAGGGAAACAGCCCAGACCGCCAGCUAAGGUCCCAAAGUGUGUAUUAAGUGGAAAAGGAUGUGGAGUUGCUUAGACAACUAGGAUGUUGGCUUAGAAGCAGCCACCAUUUAAAGAGUGCGUAAUAGCUCACUAGUCGAGUGACUCUGCGCCGAAAAUGUACCGGGGCUAAAUACACCACCGAAGCUGCGGAUUGAUACCAAUGGUAUCAGUGGUAGGGGAGCGUUCUAAGGACAGUGAAGUCAGACCGUAAGGACUGGUGGAGUGCUUAGAAGUGAGAAUGCCGGUAUGAGUAGCGAAAGACGGGUGAGAAUCCCGUCCACCGAAUGCCUAAGGUUUCCUGAGGAAGGCUCGUCCGCUCAGGGUUAGUCAGGACCUAAGCCGAGGCCGACAGGCGUAGGCGAUGGACAACAGGUUGAUAUUCCUGUACCACCUCUUUAUCGUUUGAGCAAUGGAGGGACGCAGAAGGAUAGAAGAAGCGUGCGAUUGGUUGUGCACGUCCAAGCAGUUAGGCUGAUAAGUAGGCAAAUCCGCUUAUCAUAAAGGCUGAGCUGUGAUGGGGAAGCUCCUUAUGGAGCGAAGUCUUUGAUUCCCCGCUGCCAAGAAAAGCUUCUAGCGAGAUAAAAGGUGCCUGUACCGCAAACCGACACAGGUAGGCGAGGAGAGAAUCCUAAGGUGUGCGAGAGAACUCUGGUUAAGGAACUCGGCAAAAUGACCCCGUAACUUCGGGAGAAGGGGUGCUUUCUUAACGGAAAGCCGCAGUGAAUAGGCCCAAGCGACUGUUUAGCAAAAACACAGCUCUCUGCGAAGCCGUAAGGCGAAGUAUAGGGGGUGACACCUGCCCGGUGCUGGAAGGUUAAGGAGAGGGGUUAGCGUAAGCGAAGCUCUGAACUGAAGCCCCAGUAAACGGCGGCCGUAACUAUAACGGUCCUAAGGUAGCGAAAUUCCUUGUCGGGUAAGUUCCGACCCGCACGAAAGGUGUAACGAUUUGGGCACUGUCUCAACCAGAGACUCGGUGAAAUUAUAGUACCUGUGAAGAUGCAGGUUACCCGCGACAGGACGGAAAGACCCCGUGGAGCUUUACUGUAGCCUGAUAUUGAAUUUUGGUACAGUUUGUACAGGAUAGGCGGGAGCCAUUGAAACCGGAGCGCUAGCUUCGGUGGAGGCGCUGGUGGGAUACCGCCCUGACUGUAUUGAAAUUCUAACCUACGGGUCUUAUCGACCCGGGAGACAGUGUCAGGUGGGCAGUUUGACUGGGGCGGUCGCCUCCUAAAGUGUAACGGAGGCGCCCAAAGGUUCCCUCAGAAUGGUUGGAAAUCAUUCGUAGAGUGCAAAGGCAUAAGGGAGCUUGACUGCGAGACCUACAAGUCGAGCAGGGACGAAAGUCGGGCUUAGUGAUCCGGUGGUUCCGCAUGGAAGGGCCAUCGCUCAACGGAUAAAAGCUACCCCGGGGAUAACAGGCUUAUCUCCCCCAAGAGUCCACAUCGACGGGGAGGUUUGGCACCUCGAUGUCGGCUCAUCGCAUCCUGGGGCUGUAGUCGGUCCCAAGGGUUGGGCUGUUCGCCCAUUAAAGCGGUACGCGAGCUGGGUUCAGAACGUCGUGAGACAGUUCGGUCCCUAUCCGUCGUGGGCGUAGGAAAUUUGAGAGGAGCUGUCCUUAGUACGAGAGGACCGGGAUGGACGCACCGCUGGUGUACCAGUUGUUCUGCCAAGGGCAUAGCUGGGUAGCUAUGUGCGGAAGGGAUAAGUGCUGAAAGCAUCUAAGCAUGAAGCCCCCCUCAAGAUGAGAUUUCCCAUAGCGUAAGCUAGUAAGAUCCCUGAAAGAUGAUCAGGUUGAUAGGUUCGAGGUGGAAGCAUGGUGACAUGUGGAGCUGACGAAUACUAAUAGAUCGAGGACUUAACCAUAUAUUAU
rnacentral:rRNA from 1 species